rnacentral:rRNA from 1 species
UACGUAGGGUGCAAGCGUUAUCCGGAUUUAUUGGGCGUAAAGGGCUCGUAGGCGGCUCGUCGCGUCCGGUGUGAAAGUCCAUCGCUUAACGGUGGAUCCGCGCCGGGUACGGGCGGGCUUGAGUGCGGUAGGGGAGACUGGAAUUCCCGGUGUAACGGUGGAAUGUGUAGAUAUCGGGAAGAACACCAAUGGCGAAGGCAGGUCUCUGGGCCGUUACUGACGCUGAGGAGCGAAAGCGUGGGGAGCGAACAGG